rnacentral:rRNA from 1 species
CCUACGGGAGGCUGCAGUGAGGAAUAUUGGUCAAUGGACGAGAGUCUGAACCAGCCAAGUAGCGUGAAGGAUGACUGCCCUAUGGGUUGUAAACUUCUUUUAUAUGGGAAUAAAAUGUUCCACGUGUGGGAUUUUGUAUGUACCAUAUGAAUAAGGAUCGGCUAACUCCGUGCCAGCAGCCGCGGUAAUACGGAGGAUCCGAGCGUUAUCCGGAUUUAUUGGGUUUAAAGGGAGCGUAGGUGGAUUGUUAAGUCAGUUGUGAAAGUUUGCGGCUCAACCGUAAAAUUGCAGUUGAAACUGGCAGUCUUGAGUACAGUAGAGGUGGGCGGAAUUCGUGGCGUAGCGGUGAAAUGCUUAGAUAUCACGAAGAACUCCGAUUGCGAAGGCAGUUCACUGGACUGCAACUGACACUGAGGCUCGAAAGUGUGGGUAUCAAACAGGAUUAGAUACCCUUGUAGUC